AUUGAAAGCUGGCGGCAUGCCUUACACAUGCAAGUCGAACGGUAACAGGUCUUCGGAUGCUGACGAGUGGCGAACGGGUGAGUAAUGCAUAGGAACGUGCCCAGUAGUGGGGGAUAGCCCGGCGAAAGCCGGAUUAAUACCGCAUACGAUCUGAGGGUGAAAGGGGGGGAUCGCAAGACCUCUCGCUAUUGGAGCGGCCGAUGUCAGAUUAGCUAGUUGGUGGGGUAAAGGCCUACCAAGGCAACGAUCUGUAUAUGGUCUGAGAGGACGCCCAGCUACACUGGGACUGAUACACGGCCCAGACUCCUACGGAAGGCAGCAGUGGGGAAUUUUGAACAAUGGGCGCAAGCCUGAUCCAGCAAUGCCGCGUGCUAGAAGAAGGCCUUCUGGUUGUAAACUGCUUGUGUCAGGGAAGAAAUCUUCUGGGUUAAUUCCUCGAGAGGAUGACGGUACCUGAAGAGUAAGCACCGGCUAUCUACGUGCCAGCCGCCGCAGUAAAAC
rnacentral:rRNA from 1 species